rnacentral:rRNA from 1 species
AGGGGCCUUAAUUCAACAUCGAGGUCGCAAUCUUCUUUUUUGAUAAGAACUCUAAAAAUAAUUACGCUGUUACCCCUAAAGUAAUUUAAUUUUCAGGUUUUGAGAUCUUUUAUUACACUAAAAUGUAGUGGUUAAAAAUUAACAGAUUUUUUAUUUUUGCCGCCCCAGCUAAACUAUAUUUAAAUCUCUGUCUAAUUUUUAUUUUUCACUAAGUUAAAUUUUAUAGGGUCUUAUCGUCCCCGGGGGUGCACCAGGUAUUUUGACCUGUAUAUAAUUUUCUAAGUUAAAAGGAAUAAUAAGUCUUACGUCAAGCCUUUUAUUCGGGUUCCCAAUUAAAGAACAAGUUAUUAUGCUACCUUAGUACAAUUGGAAUAUU